GACGAACGCUGGCGGCGUGCUUAACACAUGCAAGUCGAACGGGCCUGUCUUCUUUUUUGGGGGGUGGGUUGAGUGGCGAACGGGUGAGUAUCACGUGAGUAACCUGCCCUUCGGUCCUGGAUAACCGCUUGAAAGGGCGGCUAAUACGGGGUGGUCCGGUUGGUCCGCAUGGGCUGGUCGGGAUAGAUUCACUGUUUUUGGUGUUUCGGCGGGGGAUGGGCUCGCGGCCUAUCAGCUUGUUGGUGGGGUGAUGGCCGACCAAGGCGGUGACGGGUAGCCGGGCGGGGGGGGUGGGGGGCGACAGGGGGACGGGGAUACGGCCCAGACUCCUGCGGGAGGCAGCAGUGGGGGGUAUUGCACAAUGGGGGGAAGCCUGAUGCAGCGACGUCGCGUGAGGGAUGGAGGCCUUCGGGUUGUGAACCUCUGUUUCCGGUGGUGAAGGCCCUGUCCGUGUGGUGGGGUUGACGGUAGCCGGGGAUGAAGCGCCGGCUAACUACGUG
rnacentral:rRNA from 1 species